GACGAACGCUGGCGGCGUGCUUAACACAUGCAAGUCGAACGGAAAGGCCUGCUUUCCCUUGUGGAUUGCGGGUGCUCGAGUGGCGAACGGGUGAGUAACACGUGAGUGAUCUGCCCCCAACUUGGGUAUAAGCCUGGGAAACUGGGUCUAAUUCCCGAUAGGACUGCAGGGUGGUGCCUGUGGUGGAAAACGAUUUUCUAGUGGUUGGGGAUGAGCUCGCGGCCUAUCAGCUUGUUGGUGGGGUAAUGGCCUACCAAGGCGGCGACGGGUAGCCGGCCUGAGAGGGUGGACGGCCACAGUGGGACUGAGAUACGGCCCAGACUCCUACGGGAGGCAGCAGUGGGGAAUAGUGCACAAUGGGCGGAAGCCUGAUGCAGCGACGCCGCGUGGGGGAUGACGGCCUUCGGGUUGUAAACUCCUUUCGACCGCGAGGAAGCCACCUGGUUGGAAGGGUGGUGACGGUAGUGGUAGAAGAAGCACCGGCUAACUACGUG
rnacentral:rRNA from 1 species